CAGUGUAAUCAUCAUCAUAAUUGCCAUCCACUCGGUCUUCCUCCUUGUUUUCUUCCUUAUGCUUCUCUUUGUCCAUUGUGUGGAAGUCAUCAAAGCGUUUGAGAAGAGAAGCAAGACUUUUAUCCAUACUAGUAAUAGAUGCCUCCAUCUUUGUAAUCUUGUUGUUUGUGGCAAUCUGCGUGUCCUCCAACUGCCCAAGCUUGUCAUUCGUCACCUUCAAGUCGUCAUCAAGUCCCUCUGUGUGUAGCUUCACUUGCCUUUCAAAAUGUUGUAUGAUGCCCUUAGUGCGAGGUGACUGUGGAAUUUUGUUGGUAUCCUCUGUCUCUGACAUGGUUUAAAAAACACACAGUGGAAACAAGAAAAAUAGGUGAAGAAAUAAAAACCCUACAGCUAUUAGGAUGUGGCUACUGUAAGACGCUCUCUAUCAACCUGUCUAACAAGUUCUUACCAAUUCUUACCUUGCUCAACAGGAGGGAUUUGCUACCAACAAAUCCACAGCAAUGGACGAAGUGUAUCGGUGCCGCAGCAACAAAACCUAUCAAGCUGUAGAAUAUGUGGAGCUAUAGGUGGGCUGAAACAAGGAUCGAACUAGCACCACGUUAGUUAUAAAAAGCAAGUUGAAUAAACGCUCAGCGGUGGUACUGUGCUGGUCCUAGCCUAGACCGUGCUAGAGACGCGAGCCUAGACACAAAGGAAAAACACAGCACACCACUAGAAACAAAAUGAGCAGCCCUACUGGAAACAAAAGGAACAACAAUCCCCUUUUUUUGAUUUUUUUCUCUUUUUUUCUUUCUUUCUUUCUUUUUUUUCUUUAUUUUUUUUCUUUCUCUUUUCUUUUUUUGGGGAACCUCAAAACCUGAUUAUAUAAACAAAAUAGUACAAAAUAUCACUUCACCACUCUCACCCUCUCACUAAAGUAAGGCUGAACCUCAAAAUUCAAUAUAUCUAGCACAAGUAUGAAGUGCUAUCUUUCCCUUUGGAUCACGUUGAUGGAAACACAGAAUAGACCAACAAGUGGCUGCACCUAUUAUCAAGAUCUACUCAAAUUCGAACCCACAAUAGAUUGGAUGCAGUUGUGACUAGAUGGUGACAAGAACUCAAAACUCUAAAGGACUAAACUAAAACCAGCACUGGACACGACCGAAGCAAACACUCAUUCAACCAGCCCUAACUAAGUAGUACUAGCCACGGCACAAAGGAUUUUAUAGGAUUAUGGAAAACAAAUCUGCUAUAUUUUUUUGUCUUUUUUUGGACUAUAGGAAAAACAAACACGAAGAAUUGGAAAUCUCUCACCGAUAAACCUUGCUCUGAUUACCAACUGAUGUGAACCCACUAGGGUUUUCACCUGAUCUUUCGAUGAGAGGCGCUGGAUAACUCGAUUAGUGAAUGGAGAUGACGUUCACGGCCCGACUACAGCCUUCUAAGGCCGCGCCUUAGCAACCGAUACACCGCCUCCAAUGGCUGUCACGAUCUUGUGGAGCGCAACACCCGGCCACUAGGGCACUCGUCCUGCAAGCAAUCGAAGAACCAGCAAGAACAAGUAGAACAAGUACUAAAUUACUAGAUGUAAAUGAAGGUUUCAAACUCAAUCUCUAAUGAAGUGGGGUUUCGAAAACAAGAAGACGGGCGGCUGGAUCAGCACGCGCGUUUACAAGCAAGUAGCGAAGGCUAAACUUUAUCUAAUCAAAACCCAGUUGUUCAUGGCGGCUCUAGAUGUAAAUAAAUAGAGGGGAGG
rnacentral:lncRNA from 1 species